rnacentral:lncRNA from 1 species
UCAAAUGCUAAUAACCUCCAGCUGCAAACGGCUUAGAAGUGGCUCUAGAUUGUUUGAUCUUUGGCCUGUGAUCUGCUUUCAUCUCUCUGCUUUCAAAUGUUACUUUAGAUUUACUUUAACCUAUUAACAUGCUUGGUAUUCAUAGACACGCACACUCCAAAGCAGCUUCCAAGCGCCUCAACCCCCUCCCCAUUUUAGCCAGGCAGGAAACUGGAACUCCCAACGCAGAGUAGACCGGAACUUUCCAGUGCUGGAUGGAGGAGGAGGCCCGAAAGGCAGAAGACUGUGUCUGAGGAGGCUCUGCAGGAGAAUGGUGGGAAGGGAAGGACAGGAGGAAGAGAUGAAGGAUUGCAGAGAAGAAAACAGAGAAGAGAAGGAAACGAGAGAGGCAUGAAUAUGGAUGAAACUCCUCACCGAGACCACAAGGGACAGUUCCGAGCACCAUGGUCAGAAUCCAGAUGUGCCUGUUCCGGGCCCCAGUGAAUGCCCAGCUUCUGUUCUCUACAGUAUGAGGUCUCCUACCUCUCACUUAAAAGAUGGUACUGCAGGCCAGGAAGAGCAAGUCUCCAUCACUGUAGUGGCUCUAGGCCAAAUCUCCAAAUGAAAUCAGGCUGGGGAGAAAUGAACAAGUGAGAUGCAGAAAACAAUGUGAAGAAGAAACUCUGAAGAUUCGAAUAAUAAUAGAAAAAAAAGGCUGUCCUCUUCUCUCUGUGGGCUAAGGGGACAGGUCCUGGAGCAAAGCCGAGCCCAGAGUCUGCUGCACCGCGCAGCAGAGCACAUUCAUGAGGAAAGAGUGUGUCUUCUUCAGGGUGGCCGCUCCAAAUUCUCCAGGAUAUAGAUUCAGGAGGGGCUCCGGCCAUUGUUGAGAGUAAAAGCAUUGCUAUUUGCUGCUGUUCCAGAGGAAGAGAGGUACAUUUCCUUGUUUCUGGGUCCUGUUACUUGUGUAUUGCAAAGAAUUUUAGAGAUGA